CAAGAAGAGGGAGAGUCCCCAGAGAGUCCUGUCUCUCGUUAUGGACACAAAAGAAAAGCCAUGUGAGGACACAGAGAGAAGGUGGCUGUCUACGAGCUAGGAAGAAAGGCCUCACCAGAAACCAACCCUCACAGCAGCUCGAUCUUGGACUUCCGACCUCCGGAACUGUGAGAAAAUAAAUGUUUGCGAUUAAGGGAGCUCCACCCAGCAGCAGCGUUUGACAGAGCUGUUCACUUCCUCUUCCUGGAGCUGUGGCUUCCAGAGUCCAUGCUCAGCAGUUCCCCUCCUUCUUCGGCUGCUUCUCUCUUAGGCUCAGAGCCACUCAGACAUUGGGAAGCAAGUUUGUCAAGAUGACAGAGAACCGAGGUAAUGGAUUCGAGUGAUGAAACAGGAAGUUCAUUCAUGAGUUUUUGGCCACACCUCCAAAGUGACGACUUGGCCAGAAAUGGGAUAACUGGAUUUCCCUACUUCUCUUUGAUCAUCCUCAAUGAGAGUGACCAAAUAUUAGAGCUAGAUGGAACCUUAGUGAAAAUCUGGCUACUCGUCCCGUCCCACCAGCCUGCCACCCGUUUCAAGUUUGAAGAGACAAAGACACAAGGACCUUAUGUAAUUACUGGGGAUUACCCCAGGAGUCUGUGGCAAAAGUCAGCUUCUUCCCUCCCUGCUUCCCCGCCCUGUCUCUGGUGCUUUCUACCAACACUAGGCUGUUUCUGUGAUCAUACUUAAGCGUACCUAACCUGUGAAUGUUGUACAGAAGCUGCUAAUGAACAUGAUUUAGCUUUAACACUCAGUUUUCUAAAGGGACACGUGGGGGCAGCAAAUGUUUAGGGAAAAAAAAUUCCAGUUCUAACCUCUACUGUCUACGUAUGUGUAUACAUUUGGGAAACGUUUCGGAAAGAGAUAUUU
rnacentral:lncRNA from 1 species